AUCAAAACAACACAAAAUGGAAACGAAAAAAAUCGAAAAUCAGUGACCGGACAAUCGUUAGCGAUUGAACUACGUUAACUGCGAUGUUUUAAUGAGCAAGAAACAUGUUGGCUCACUGGCACAAUUGUACGAGAAAGCAUCUAAUAAUACAGAAAGUUAUCACGACAGCCGAACGAAUAUAUUGCUUAUGUUGACCUGCUGUAAAUGAUGGCAACGAGUAUCAUCCCACUCAGGUGAAUCGGUUUAUUACGUGACCGGCCAGCGUCGUGAAGACCCAAAUUUGUCCGAAUGCCGACCCACAUUAUACUAGAUGGAAAUAUACCUUCGCAAGCAAACCGAUUCAAAUAAUUCUAAUGCACACGGGAAAAGUGGAUAUACAAUUGGUUGAAAAUUCGAGGCACAGGUUUUAAUGGAGUCCACUCCAUUAACCUUGGUAACAAUUUCAAAUGUCGGCCUGCAAGCAAGACACUACAAAAUCCAUUAAGGGACCUAUGCAUCCGUCGUUAUUGGCCAUCCCCUAAACCG